rnacentral:tRNA from 1 species
GCCUUAGUGGUGUAGAGGUAGCACAUUUGGUGCAUAUUCAAGAGGUCCAGGUUCGAGUCCCAGCGAGGGCA